rnacentral:rRNA from 1 species
CCUACGGGCGGCAGCAGUGAGGAAUAUUGGUCAAUGGACGAGAGUCUGAACCAGCCAAGUAGCGUGAAGGAUGACUGCCCUAUGGGUUGUAAACUUCUUUUGUCAAGGGAUAAAACGAGGCCCGUGUGCCUUUUUGCGUGUACUUUAUGAAUAAGGAUCGGCUAACUCCGUGCCAGCAGCCGCGGUAAUACGGAGGAUCCGAGCGUUAUCCGGAUUUAUUGGGUUUAAAGGGAGCGUAGAUGGGUUGUUAAGUCAGUUGUGAAAGUUUGCGGCUCAACCGGAAAAUUGCAAUUGAUACUGGCAGUCUUGAGAAGAGGUGAGGUAGGCGGAAUGCGCGGUGUAGCGGUGAAAUGCUUAGAUAUCACGAAGAACCCCGAUUGCGAAGGCAGCUUACUAAACUGUGACUGACAUUGAUGCACGAAAGUGUGGGUAUCAAACAGGAUUAGAUACCCCGGUAGUC